rnacentral:rRNA from 1 species
GAGUUUGAUCCUGGCUCAGGACGAACGCUGGCGGCAUGCCUAAUACAUGCAAGUCGAGCGGAGUUGAUGAGAAGCUUGCUUCUCUGAUGCUUAGCGGCGGACGGGUGAGUAACACGUAGGCAACCUGCCCUCAAGCUUGGGACAACUACCGGAAACGGUAGCUAAUACCGAAUACUUGCUUCCUUCGCCUGAAGGAAGCUGGAAAGACGGAGCAAUCUGUCACUUGAGGAUGGGCCUGCGGCGCAUUAGCUAGUUGGUGAGGUAACGGCUCACCAAGGCGACGAUGCGUAGCCGACCUGAGAGGGUGAUCGGCCACACUGGGACUGAGACACGGCCCAGACUCCUACGGGAGGCAGCAGUAGGGAAUCUUCCGCAAUGGGCGAAAGCCUGACGGAGCAAUGCCGCGUGAGUGAUGAAGGUUUUCGGAUCGUAAAGCUCUGUUGCCAGGGAAGAACGUCCUUGAGAGUAACUGCUCAAGGAGUGACGGUACCUGAGAAGAAAGCCCCGGCUAACUACGUGCCAGCAGCCGCGG